GGGACUUCCGGUCGAGAUAGGAACUCUGAGGAAGAAUUGAGAGGCGGGAGAUUCGCCAGCCAGCCAGGCAUGGAGGAAAUCGUACAUACCAGGGCUGAGUGAGAGCUGAGGCGUUACUUCCCUGCUAUUAGAAUCCAUUUCUUCAGGAUUCUAUCAGAAACUGAAGACCCCCAGAGACAGCUCAACAAACAAGCUGAAGGACAGACUGCUUAUGCUGAAAUGGACUGUUGCUGAAGGCAGAUGAUCAGGACUGCAGCUCUGAAGGAUCAUCGAAUCAGCAGAUCUUCAUGAGGGCAUUUGGACUGUUGGUGGGGUUGACACUUGUUUCUCUUGUAAAAAGUUAAAUUGUACAAUUUUUUAGUUUAUAUAAAAAGGGGGAAAUGCUGCAGGAUAUUUGAUCACCCUGUGAACCCCCAAGAUUGUGUCAUGGUGUGGCUCAGCCCUUAGCACACACCUUUAAUCCUUCUGGCUGGAAUACAGACACACCCUUAGUAUACACCUUUAAUUUCAAACUAUGAAGGUUAAGUUUGUAGAAGGGAGCUCCUAUGUUUGAAAGUGAUGUCUAAGUGAGUGGCAGACAAAGUGAUGAAUCAGAGAAAGAUUUGACAGAAUGGGAUCUGCCCGACUCUCACCAGAAGAGAGAGGAAAGGGAGGCAAUGUAAGAGAGAGCAGAGCAGGAGAGACAGGAGAGGGUGUUUUACUGGGAGAGUUUUACAGAGACAGAUUGAAGAGAGAGAAAACUAGACACAGGUAAAGACAGAAUAAACCAGAGAAUGAGAAGUAGCUAGAUUACAACGGAUUGCCAGAGUUAGUUUCAGGUUGAGAGGAGUGAGUUAGCCAGAGCCAGACAGACUCUAUGACAGGCUGCAUACUGUCAGUUUGGGAGACUAGGUCUAAGUUUCUGUUUCCCAGAAAUGAGAACUGGGACCCCAGGUUCCAU
rnacentral:lncRNA from 1 species